rnacentral:rRNA from 1 species
GAUGAACGCUGGCGGCGUGCCUAAUACAUGCAAGUCGAGCGAACAGACGAUGAGCUUUCUCCUCUGACGUUAGCGGCUGACGGGUGAGUAACACGUGGAUAACCUACCUAUUAUUCUGGGAUAACUUCGUGAAACCGGUGCUAAUACCGGAUCAUAUAUUGUACCGCUUUGUUCAAUAGUUCUUGUCGGUUUUGCUGUCUCUUAUAGCUGGUUCCGCGCCGCAUUAGCUAGUUGGUAAGGUAACGGCUUACCAAGGCAACGAUGCUUAGCCGACCUGAGAGGGUGAUCGGCCACACUGGAACUGAGACACGGUCCAGACUCCUACGGGAGGCAGCAGAAGGGAAUAUUACGCAAUGGGCGAAAGCAUGACGGAGCAAAGCCGCGUGAGUGAAGAAGGUCUUCGGAUCGUAAAACUCUGUUAUUAGGGAAGAAAAAAAGUGGAAGAAAAUAUGGACGUAGUGACGGUACCUAAAGAGAAAGCAACGGCUAACUACGUG